rnacentral:tmRNA from 1 species
UCGCUGAGGGUUAACUUAAUAGACACGGCUAAGCAUGUAGUACCGACAGCGGAGUACUGGCGGACGGGGGUUCAAAUCCCCCCGGCUCCACCAAACAAGCCAUACAAAUCAAGCACUUAGCGUUCUCGCAAGUGCUUUUUUUGUGCCUUUUGGGGCCGUUUUGGCUGGGUAAUGCCAGCUUAAUGACAGCAUGACUGACGCCAAAACCAGUCAGCGAACAUAGCGCAUGCUCCAUCUGCUCAGGAUGCUUGAGCAGAUCCAACACCAGCGCCUCGCCGCAAGCGGCAUAGUUCACUCGCCCCUCGUCACUUGGAUAAGCCCACGGCUACAAUAGAGUUGGCCAUCGCCCUCCUCUUCUGGAGUGCUACACAACCGCACGACCAAGCGGCUGGUAUAGUAUCUACACUAGGGACGCACCUGAGAAUUAAUAAAUGCCUAUGAAAGUCAUGAUAUUGAGUUGAAAAAUACCAUUUUUUAGACAGCCUUUUUUGUGUACGUGGCACUCAGCAAAAUAAGUGGGUUGUGGUAGAGUUUUGGGGGGCAUUCGCAAUGCGCGUCUGAAUUCAGAC